rnacentral:rRNA from 1 species
UACGUAGGGUGCGAGCGUUGUCCGGAAUUAUUGGGCGUAAAGAGCUCGUAGGCGGUUUGUUGCGUCGGCCGUGAAAACCCGCGGCUUAACUGCGGGACUGCAGUCGAUACGGGCAGGCUAGAGUUCGGUAGGGGAGACUGGAAUUCCUGGUGUAGCGGUGAAAUGCGCAGAUAUCAGGAGGAACACCAGUGGCGAAGGCGACUACCUGGCCUGUUCUUGACGCUGAGGCGCGAAAGCUAGGGGAGCAAACGGG